UUUUUUGACAAUGGAAAGUGUUAAUGCUCCACUCAGACUGAGUCUUCUCAGCAUUUCUUUGCAAAAUUGAGACAUAAGGCACAGCACUAGUUCCAGAGUUGCAGUCUCUGCACAGCUGGAGUCCUCAGCUAAUUGUGCCAACUUGGCAAAAAGCACACAGCGCUAACCCACAGACCAAAAGCUUACCUGACCAAGAAGGAGCAGAAAGUGUUUUCUAAUCAAGGUACAAGAUACUCCGGACUGGAAAUAGAAAGAGAUGAAAAGAAAACAUUGAGACAGUAAGGCACUCAGCUUUGAUCAAAAUUUUAUCUAUUGUAUUCUACAGUGCCUCUGUAACAUCAUAUAGAAAAAUGCAGUAUCUUUGUAUACAAGACAUCAUUGUCAUUUAUACAUUUGUUUGUAAAUAAACACAGAAAUCCAGCAUCAAAUAAUCCAUCUUAAUUCAGUGGAGUCUCUCUGGGUUAGGAUGCUUUGAUUUUUAUUGAGAUCUGAAAAUCAGUGUUUGCCUACCACCUCUUUCCAUACCUAUUGUUUGCUGAAUUAAUUAGCACACGUUUCAGAGAUUUAGCAGAUUCAGCUCCCUACCCCAAAUAUCUCUGAAAGUUUUGCCUGAGGUCAGAAACCGUAAAUUGUGGGUAUUUAGUGGAAUUUCAGAAAUACUAUGUUGAAAAAUACAAGUGAUGGAGAUGACCCCUCUCCUUUAAUACAGACAUCCCACGCUUACAAGAGUACAUCCUGUGCCACUUUCACUCUGAAAGCCACAUUUUGAACUCUUCUUUCACAACAAGCUCCUGAGGAAGAAUAGGCAAAAAAGAAAACCAUACAACUGGAACAUCCCUAAAAAUGAAAGCCCAGCAGUUCCCAACUGCCUGGAAUGAACAACAAAACCCAGUGUGCCAUGACGAAGUCUUGAAUAGUCUUCAGGGGAAGCCAAAGAACAUCUUCCCUGCUUUGCUACACACUCAGCCAUGCUCGGGACUGCAAAGAAAUGCCAGGAAUGCACCUGCACACAUUCAAGAAGCACAUGCAAAGGCUACAAGAAGCACUGAAAUGUUUCUCCAUGCAGAGACUGAGCACGGUAAUGCCACAUCUGUAUGCAAGUGCGUGGUAUGGCCAUGGGGCUCUUGGCACAGUUCCUGAUGCAUUAUGGUGCUAGCCAGUGGCUAACAGGAACAAUUCAAAACUAUUGCACCAGCAAAGAAUUUGCAACAGACUGAAAACCAGCCACCUACUCCCUGCUGUCCAGGAACAUCUUCAAAUAGAUACAGCAGACAUAGAAUGUUUGUUGAAAAUAAAUGUCUAAGGACAAGAAUUCCUAGUGUUUUUUUGGGUGCUUAUCUCCCUUAUUUAAGAAGAAAAUUCCCUUUGAGCUUCAUGCAACCACAUUUUCCAGUUCAAAAGUGAAUCACGAGUUCUUGUGAGUUCCUUCUAUUUCCAGCUCCAGGGAUAAGCACAAAUCCUUCUCUGGCUCUGUCUUCUGCCCACAUUUCAGGAGGGGCAGCAGUCCUGGAGCACUGCAUAUUCUGCCCAAAAACUCAGGCCUUGUGCACCCAGACACAACUUCCAAAUGAGAGCCUUGGGAAAAAAUAAGUGCAGGGAGAUGAGGCUGAGUUGUGGUGGUUUUUAGUAAGAGAAACAGAGGCGAGGGUACCUAAUUGCACAUUCCCAAGAGUGAUUGAUGCUGCAUGUGUGCCCACAAACACUGUGGAAACAUGUUGUUGUUCUGCAGGGUUACAAAGAAUGAACUUAGUACACAUUAGUCACCAAAAAAAGAAAGUGAUUGCUUUUUCAGUGUUUUGUUUCUAUGGUGUUGGAUGGAAACUGAGACUAUGUCUUUGAUGCUCUAUGAGUGCAAAGUAGCAGGGAGAUCACAAAUCAAGCAUCACUUUCCCAGACGGAAGGAAAGGCUUGCCCUGGAGACACGGGUGGUGCCUGGAUGAGAUGCACUUCUCCCAAACCUAUGUGGGAAGCAUUCAACGAGCAGAACUUUAAACCAAUUAAAAAGGAUCUGGUGAAAGUUUGUGCACAUAUAUCAAAGAAAUUUGGAGAUCCAGUUUACUAAAUCGGCUUUGCUAUCCUGAGCAUUAAAAUACUGAGCCCCAACUCUUAAAAAUCAUCAAUACCCUCAGCAAUUCAUUUUCAAAUAUGUUAGUAAUCUAGAUUUUGUUUGAAUUUGCCUUCCAGCCAUUCUAUUUUUCAAGCUCAGCUUUCCCAACUAGUGUUCUCUGCAAUCAAAAUUAGUAAUAUGCUUUAAAAGAAUGAGGCAUACGUAAAAUCAGGAUGUCCACUGAAGUGAAAGUGCCCACUUCUGAAGGAUGGCACCAUGCACAGUGAAGUGUGCACUGGAGUCCCAUUCCAUUCUCAUCAAGGUUCAAAGCAAGUCUCAUUAUGUGACCUUCCAAAACAGAAGUCAACAAAGAGCCAACAGACUGACCAACACACUCCAAACCAGUGCAAAGAAAAAGAAAUAGAUAUUGAAAACUGAUUAAGUAUGAGGUGUGAGACUCAGUAUUCUGACAAUGCAGCAAGAUCAUUGUUUUUGAGAUAGAGGAACUCUAACAUUCAAAGAGUGUUUUUUGUCACAAGCACCCUUAGCAGAAAGCUUGCAUCUAGUUGCAGAAGAGGCUGUAGUCUCUGCUCCAGUGAUAGAAUACACAUAACCGUAUAAAUAUAAGGAACAUGAAUAUAUAAGCACAGUAAAAUCUGAUGGCUUGAACCACUCUGAGACAAACCAUUAAAUACCAGAAAUGUCAUUUUAUCAAACUGACACUAGUUUGCACUGAAGCAGUGAAAAAAGGAAUGUAGUAAACUGUGCUCCUAUGGUUUGCAGAAUCAUAGAAUCACACUGCUUUAUAUUGUUGUAUUAAAUAUAACUUAAUGUUAAAACUGAAUUAAAGCGUACUUAAUGUUUAAUUUUGCUAUUUAUAUUUUCUUCUGGACAGUUCUUACUCAGCUUGUGGUAUGUAUCAGUGUGACAGCACUUGUCAGAUGCAUCAUUGAUCUGCCUGAUAUUUUACAGGUGAUAAGAAGUAUUUCUGAGUUCAUUUGUUUGGGAAAAGGGGAUGUAGAAAUGUAUGUACAUGUGUGACUUCAUAUGUAUAUGCAUGUAUACAUAAAUAUGUAGUUAUACAUUGUGACUAACAAAUUAUUUUGUCUGAAGAUGGUAAUGCCAGCUAAAAAUUUAGAGGUUUGUGAUCUUAAUUUUCUAAGGCAAAUCUUUGCUAAGAUCCAAUGCUACCAGGAAAAAUCUAACAGACUAUCAGACAAUCAAAAAAAGAUACAGAGCCUCUGUACUUGAAGAGUAAAUACAUUACACCACCUCUCAACAUGAAUACGCAGUAUGAAACGUGAUGAUAUUUUGCUUUAAAGUAUAAUAAUUGGAAAAAAAUUAAAAAGAAAUGAAAAUUUCUGGUGAUUUAUCC
ensembl:lncRNA